rnacentral:lncRNA from 1 species
CAACCCUGACCACAGCUGAGCCGUGUGAAGAGGCUGACAGCGGCGUGGCCACCACCCAGGAUGGAGAGAAAGGCACUGUGAGGUGUUAAUGGAAAAAUCCAACUUCCUUUUCUUCCAAAGAUGAUGACUGAAACCAAAGUGGAGCUUUCCCUGAAACUUUCUGAGAUGCAAGUGGGUGUUAAAUGGUUCAGCAAAGCCAAGCCAGAGCAGUUGGUGUGCUUUGAAAUGAAGCAACAUUGGAAAAAUGAAAUCUACUGAAAGAUCACUACGUGUUUCAAAGCAUUUCUUACAAUUGCCAAAAUAUGGAAGCAACCUAAGUGUCCCUCAGGAGACGAAUGGAUCAAGGCAAUGUGGCCUUCAGACUCAGACUGGAACUGCACCGUUGGCUCUCCUGGGUGGGUCUCCAGCUUGCUGACCACAGACCUUGAGACUUCUCAGCCUUUAGAAUCAUGGAAGCCAAUUCCUUAUAAUAAUAUAUAUCCUUUUCCUAGUCUGUGGACUUUUCCCAGCUCCAGACAGACAACCUUCUAUAAACUCCAGGAUGCUCCAUCAAUGCCGUCUGGACUCUACAGAUUUUGACCCUGAAGUAAAGUAGGAAAGGCUAUGAGGACAUGUUAAAUGUUGUACUACCGCCUGAAGCCUUUUCUUCUUUAAAUUUUUCAACAAGAGUUGAAUGCACACGUGGAGCUUAAUUGGACAACAACUUUUCUCCUCUUCUGUGGGAUCCCGUCAGUGCUUUAAGCAAUGAGAAGGCAGCUCAUUUCCAAGUUUGUGUGGUAAAUUUGGGGCAAGUGGGAGAAAAGAAAGAAAGGCUGAGUCUUAUAGGGUGUGAUUUGGUUCUAGACAUGCUUAUGUUACUUUUUAUAAGAUUAUCCAUUUGACUAGAUUUCUUUCCUGCUGACAAAAGAGGCAAUUUCUACAUAUAAAAUAAAUCUGAUUAAAACUC